rnacentral:tRNA from 1 species
UGCGCCUCUGGCGGAAUGGCAGACGCAGCGGACUUAAAAUCCGUGGUCGAAGGACGAUAAGGGUUCAAGUCCCUUGAGGCGCAU